rnacentral:lncRNA from 1 species
AAUAAGCUAGACCAAAAGUACUUGGAGAGUCUUUUUUCAUGUGUAACAAAAAGUCAUUUUCUCUCUUCUCAUUUAUUAUCUAUAGGGACUUAUAAUUUAUAAGUGACUGCUAAGCUAUAUUCAUGAACCAAUAUUGCCAAAAAUCUUGGGGUUCAUAGUUUUCUUAGUAAUUUUAAAGGCCCACUGUGAGUGUUGAAGAAGAACGCCAAAAACCUAGGGGUUCGUAGUUUUCUUAGUAAUGUUAAAGGCGCACUGUGAGUGUUGAAGAAGAAAGGUAAGAAGUGUAGAACACAGAGUACACAGCAAAUGUGAGAAAGAAAAGUUAAAUGUAGAGAAUGUCAAAAAUCAGACAAGCUAUCAGCAUUAUCCGUCGUUUCUUAUUACUCCAGACAAAGAGCAGUCUAAGGUAUAAUAUUUAUAGUUUGAGCGCCGAUUGUGAACUGAACAUAAACAAUAGUUUUCUCAAAGGAUGACAGACCUUACGAGUUCUCUAAUUCUUAAUACCUGAGCUUGCAUUAUGUUAUUUUUAAUGGUGUCGAACUAAUCAUUUGGAAGCUUGGUUUCAACCAGUGCCACAUUCCUGUAGUAGAUUUUUUUUGUUAGUACAUGAACUUGCAUAUAUCUGCAAUAUAAUUUCCCCAUUUAUGCAUGCUGCGCAUUGCAGAAUAGUCUUCG